UUAAGUAAUAGAUUUAUAUAAAAAUCCCUUUUCUCUUGAAAGUCCUAGAAAAAAAUAGAAAACUAUCACUUUUCUACAAUCUCUCUCUCUCUCUCUUGCUCUCGAUUUCCCUAGGAGCAGCUUGAAGCUGUGAAAUUUCAGCUCUUCAACAAGAAGUCCAGCUGAAUUCUUAAGCCUCAACUCAAGGGCCCUGUAAAACGUCGAGCUGCGUUUCCACUCAAGCUAACCGGCACACUUGAGCACAGAACGAGGUAAAGGAAAAGCAAAGCUGGAGGAACAGUGAGAUAGAGCCCGGCAG